rnacentral:rRNA from 1 species
GACGAACGCUGGCGGCGUGCUUAACACAUGCAAGUCGAACGGAAAGGCCCUGCUUUUGUGGGGUGCUCGAGUGGCGAACGGGUGAGUAAAACGUGAGUAACCUGCCCUUGACUUUGGGAUAACUUCAGGAAACUGGGGCUAAUACCGGAUAGGAGCUCCUGCUGCAUGGGGGGGGUUGGAAAGUUUCGGCGGUGGGGGAUGGACUCGCGGCUUAUCAGCUUGUUGGUGGGGUAGGUGCUUACCAAGGCUUUGACGGGUAGCCGGCCUGAGAGGGUGACCGGCCACCUUGGGACUGAGAUACGGCCCAGACUCCUACGGGAGGCAGCAGUGGGGAAUAUUGCACAAUGGGCGGAAGCCUGAUGCAGCAACGCCGCGUGCGGGAUGACGGCCUUCGGGUUGUAAACCGCUUUCGCCUGUGACGAAGCGUGAGUGACGGUAAUGGGUAAAGAAGCACCGGCUAACUACGUG